ACGUAUGGAAUGAAUGAAGACCAGAAAAUAUAUGAUAAGAGAUGUAAAUCAAUAAAAAAAUCUUAAUAAUCUAGUGAUAUUAUUCUUUUUAUGUCUAAAAUAUACAUUAGUUUACUCAAUCAAAAGAAAGAAAUUAGUUUACGAAAAAAAUAUUUGUAGCAUGCAUGUAACUUGUGUAGCUUCACUUUGAUAUAUUCAAAUAGUAAAGACUAAUAUAAUAAGUAAAAUCGACUCAGUAAAAUAAAUUUAUUAGCAAGUUAUACAACUUUGGUCAUUUUAAUUUUGAUAUAUUCAAAGUUGGUGGUAUACUUGUUAACCUAAACCGAGUAAAGAUAAGUUAAAAAAUUUCAUAUAUAAACUUUAUUUUAUUCAUUUGAUGACUAAUUCUGUUUUAAAAUUACCGACUAGUUCAAAAUAAAAUUAAAAAUAUAUAUUAAAAUGUAGAAUAUUACUAACCGCAACGACAGAGUCUCUUGCAGCUACAGCCAAAAUGUCUGCACAAGAAACAACUGGUUUUCCACAUGCUUUAUCAACAGCAUCCUUAAUCUCAUCAACAACUUCAAAUCCUCUUGCUGAAUUUAUAUUUGGAUUUGCAUUUUUUUCACUGUCCAUCGAAGGUGUAGAGUCUAGAAGAAUUGAACCAUCACAACCCUGAAUCACCAUAAAAAUUAAAAAAUUAACUAUCACUUAAUAAUUAAUAUUAACACAUAUAUAAGCUACAAAAAUUUGCUGUUUAGCAACACAUUUAAAUCUUUUUUUUUAUAGUUAUCGUAACAAUUUAUUUAUUGACCAAUUUUCAAAUUAUGAAUCACAUUAUUAUCUAAAUUAAUCAUUAAAUAAAUUUAUUAACUGUUUAAUGAUUGAUUUGGAAUAGUAACUAAAUUAUAAUAUAAUUGUUAACACUACUAAAAAAGUGAAAAUUAGAAAGGAAAAUGUAGAGACCAAAAAUUUAAAAUCUUCUCUAAAUUUUGUUGGAGUAAAUAGAGUGAAAAUCUAUAAAUAAUUUUCACUUUGGUAAAAAAUAAAUAAAAUUGGGAUAUCUACAAAUUUGCUUAUAACUUUAGAAGGGUUUGUUCUCAUUUUAGUUUUUCUAGUAGUAAUAUAAUAUUUAGCGACUAAAUUGAUAAAUCUUACAUUAACAAAGCAAUCAUGAAAAUGCAAGCGUAGUAAAGAGCCACCCAUACGAUUCUCUUUUUCAACUGCAGCUUCAACAACACUUCUAAUAGUGCUCAAAGCAUUAGGGCAUGUGUAGUCAUAAUAAUUUGUUGUGAGUGCUGAAAAUGUUUUGGUUGCAAGUGCUGCUAACACUAUUGCAUGGAAGAACAUUGAGAAAUACCUAUGUGAGGACAUUUUUACUAAGCAAUUAAUGAUUAUUGAUAAGUGACUAGUAAGGAAAUUAUUGGGUUAUUAGGUUGUAUUUGUGUUGUGAAUGUAUGUACAUUGAUAUGUAUAUUUAUAGAGACAUAAGAAACGUGAGCAUGCAUAAAGAAAAUACCAAGUGAUGGACUAGGCCUAAAAGUUGACCAUGUCGUGAAAAGAAACUUUCAUCAAGGCAUUUUUUGGGACAUAAAUUAAUAUAGUAAACUUUCAUCAAGGCAUUGGUGAACUUCUUAUACAAAUAAGGAUUAAUUAAAUUUUUAGUGCUAUAAAUAUUCACAAUUUUGUUUUUAGUCCUUAUAAAAUAAAAUCACAUUUUUUAGUCUCAAUGACAUUUUUCUUAAGCAUUUUAGGGAUAAAAAAUGUUGAUGAAAAUUUUUGACAGGGACUAAAAUUGCUGAUGAAAUUUUUUUAUAGGGACUAAAAAUGCUGAUGAAAAUUUUUGUAGAGACUAAAAAAUAUGACUUUAUUUUGUAGGGACUAAAAUCAACAUUUUAAAUAUUUAUAGGGACCAUUUACUUAAUUAACCCUAAAAAUAAUUAACCAAAGUUCGUCUAUGCAAGUAAUUGGAAAAAGUAUUUUGUCCAUGAUUGAUUUAGUCCGUGGGAUUUGUUGAUUUAAAUGUCAACCUUAAUGAUUAAGAUAAAAUUCAUAUUGAGUGAAAUACAUUCUUUUUUAGAGGUAUUAAGUGUAAUACAUGGAAUGUGUCUCUUUCGAUUAGUUCAACCUUCCCAUCAUCACUUUAAUUUAAUUCAUAAGAAAAUUCGGGGAAAUCAAUUUCGAAUCCUAGUAUACUCAUUCUUAGUUUAAUUUUUUAUUUGAGGGGUCAUUUUUAGUUUAUUAAUUGUUAAAAAUUAGUAUUAUAUCAUGUAUUGUCAAUAAAGAGUAGUAUAUUAUAACCAAUGUGGUAGAGUCUACCAAAAAGGACAAUACUUAUAUUGCAAGUGAACCAAAGUUCGAUCAAAUCUAUCUCACAUGUCUCAUAUUGUGGAUGAGUGUUUGUUGAGAUCAGAAUUUUAGCUCAUUUGUUAAAAUUAUCAAUUCAAAAAACACUCAUCCACAACAAAGGAUUGAAGAAUUAUUUUGGAUUUUACAAUUAUCUAAACAAUAUAGAUGAUUAACGAUAAAGUCUAUAUGAUUUUCAUUAAGUAGUUUUAUUUAUUGAGAAAAACCAUUGGAGGCCAUACAAGAUCUCACUUAGUCAAAUGGCAAAUUGCUCCAAAUCUCGCAACUAACAAGUAACAAUAAAUCACUAUACAAUUCAACCAAUUUAUCACAGCAUCCAAUUCAAUCUGAUUACUCAUUUACCCAUAAAAAACAAGUUCACAUUGUGAAACUAAUGUUUUUCAAAUUGCUAGGGUUUUUACUAUGUUAUCAAGACAAAAAAUAACAGAAAUCCAACAAAAUGAACGCAAAUGAAAUUAAAAGAAGUAAAGUUGUCUUCAUAUUUUUCAAUUCGCAUACAACAUACCCCUUUCAUAGCACGCAUUUGGGCGUUUAAUAGCGCUAAGAAAGCCCUCGCUAUUAUAGGCCAGAACCCUUUAAUAGCUCUAUCUACGCUAUUAAAUAGCAGUAUUUCAAUAACGCUUUCAGAAAAACACAAAUAUAACCUUAUUUUUGUGCUAUUUUUAAACAAAUGUUUCUUAGCGUUGUUUGGAAAGCGCUAUCUUAAGAGUCCAUUUAUGGUGGCUUCUCCAAUCCGCGAGGGAUACGAGCUUCUAUGAUGCUCCGAGUGAAAGGAUUGUAUGUUGUACGGUCGUCGUCAGAGUAUGAUGAGGACCACGAGCGUUUGUUGUGCCUCGACAGAGACCUUCGCGCGGAGAUCUUCAGCUAGGCGAUCGUCGACUGCGCGUUGGAGAUCUCACGUUGACAGAAUGUUUGGGCGAUUUUGAUCUGGACGGACAUGGACUCCCUCCCUAUUCGUUACGCGGUGGGGAGAGAGGCAGUAUAGGACGCGAAAAACUGCUUCCUCGAAAGAUCUUUCUCUAUGUCUGAAAGACGACGAUUCUACUCCUCGAUUAUCGACGUUUGCCGUUGAACCGUCUGGAGUAGAUUAUUGAGCAUAUCAUCGGUUGAGGUGGCAUUGUCCGCCACUUCGUUAGGUCACGAAGGGCCAAGAAGGGGAUGGUCCUAUAGAGGUACUGCCAGCUGGGGAAUCUGCUGGGAGUUUUUUCAAUAUCAGCAGAAGACAGCGUGGAAAUCUGUGUGUCGCGGUAGACACGAUGGACUUCGCUCUUAACAUGGGAACUGGCAUUGUUGGUAGUCAUGGUGUUUAGAGUUUUAAAAGCUUUGGUUUUUUGUUGGUAAGAAAUGGGGAUAUCGUGUAUUUUCCCACAGACGGUGUCACUGAUCGUACCUGAUAAGAAUGUGACUACUAGUGCAGUUUUGUAUGCUGGUUGUGUGGUGGUUGGAAGCCUCAAUUGUUUACUGGAACGGUAGGGGUGUGUACCUAUAGAAACUGACGCUCAAGUCAGUAUGAGAUUAGAAUGUGGGUUAAGAAAGAGAGUAGAUUCUAACCUUGGGUUCUGCUGAGAGUCCCAUUUAUAUAGAGGUGGGUGUUUACGAUUACAGAUUUGUGGGAAUCGUAACCGCCGAUGAAAGAUUCACGGGAGCCAUGAUGAUGACCGUUGAUGUUCAGUUUGAACGGGUAUUUGUUGCUCCGAGGACCCACCUCGUGGGGAGGGGGUGUGUUGUGAGUAAUUUACCAAACUUCGGAUUUGGAUUUAUUUCGUAUUGGGCCUACGUAAAUGGGCCUAAACUGUUGGCUCGGUCGAGAACAUAUAUGAUACUCCCUCCGGUCACAUUUAUAAGCAAAAAACAACUUUUUAGGUACAUCCAAUAAUUAAUGUAUCUAACUCAUAAAUAUGGUCGGAUACAUUAAUUAUUCAAUGUACCUAAAAAGUCAUUUUUUGCUUAUAAAUGCGACUGGAUGGAGUAUAUAUUAUGUAUUAGACAAAACUACCCUUACAAUAAAAUCAUAUGUAUUUUCUUAAAAAAAUUAAUUAAUAAGUGCCUCUCGUAGCUCAUUUGGUUAGAGCACCCGUUUAGUAAGCGGGAGGUCUCAACUCUCAAUGAGAGCAAUUCAUGUUUAUUUUUAUAGUAAAAAAAUAAAAUAAAUUAAUGUUCAUAUAUUAAUAAUUUAUAAUAAUAAUAAUUUUAUUUUUAUUUUUAGACAUUCUAAUUUUUUUAAUGAUUUUAAUAUCUUUUUUGUUUUGUUUAUAUCUAUAUUUUAUUAUAUAUCAAUUUUUAAAUUUAAUAUUAUUUUGAUAGGGGGGAAUUAGUAAUUUGUUUUCUUAUCCUAUACUGUUGGUUUCUAACCUGCUCAUAUUCGGGAUAGAAAUUAUAACUACAUAAACAUAAUAAGAUAAGUUUCAUGAUAAACUUAUCAUAUCGUAUUGUACCAUCAAACACUAAAUUAAGACGGAAUAUGAUAUAAUUAUCUUAUCAUUUCGCUUAUUUCGGUCAUUACACGGAGCUAAGGUAUGUGAGUAUGUCUCUCUUAAUAUUGUGUCUAGAAGUUGAAAACUUACUCUUGGUAUUAUGCCAUUGAGGAAUAUGUUUAGUCAUAUAAAAGUAAAGAAGGCAGAAAAUCACUAUUAAAUUAUACGAAUAAAUCCAUUAAUCAUAACAAUAUAAAACAAAAAUGAAUAGAAUCCCAAACAAGACAAACAUUUACAUUGUUUCUCUAUCAUACACUAUAUCAUCACACUUGUGCACAACGAUAUUCAAAGUGCUAUUGUAAUUAACAUAUAUAUGCAUAUAAUUAAUACUUAUAAUGUUUUACAGUAUCUUGAUAAAUUAAUUGGCUCUCCUACAAUUGUAACGAACUUCACCCUGUUUCCCAGUAAGUGGCUUAAUAUUUCCCAUCUUAAUCAUAGAUUUUGCAAAGUCCUUAUAGAAAGUUCUUGUAUCACGCCUAUAUUUUCUAACCAAAGCUCCAGUAUAACCACCCUUCAACAAUUCUUGAUCAGAAUGAAGAAGCCCUUUCUUUUUAAUCAAUUGCGAGUAAUAAGCCACAUCAAAUUUCGCUGAUGUUACACUGUCGAGAGGAGCGAGGUUGGAGUCUCCGCCUUCUCUAGGGCAAACGUUUUGAAGUUGUUUUGCGAAAUAUGCAUUGAUGUUGUUGUCUUUGUAGAUUCGGUCUCUAAAUAAAAAACAACGCGAGAAUCCAAUAGUGUGUGCUCCAGAUAGGGCAACGAGGUCUUUUUCGUUUAGGCCUUGAUUGUCGAAGUUUUUGAUGAGUUGAGAAAGACUGAAUGCUGGUCCGGGGAUAUUGCCUGAAUCUGCAUCGGCACGACUUGCUGUCUUUGAGUCUCUUCUUCCUAGUUUCACUUUCCAUGAUGGUCCUCCUAACUGCAUCCAUAUAUAAUGGUAAAUUUCAAUUUAAAUUUCGUGUUAUGCAAGCAACAUUUUUAUUUGUCCUUUUUUGUAUAUUGAAGAAGCUUUUGUAGGAUUUGAAAAAUCUCUAAUACACACAUAUGGAAUUAAUGAAGGAAUCAUGCAUGGAAUGACAUGAGUUAUAGAUACUUGAGUCUCAAGUUAUAUUCAAUAUAAGAAAAUAUCGAUGAAAAAAAAAAAAUAUCUCAAUUAUCUCGUGAUAUUAUUUUUUAUACGUCUAAAAUAUUUUAGUUUACUCUAUCAACAAAAAUAAUUAGUUUACCAAAAAAAUAUUUGUAGCAUGUAACUUGUGUGGCUUUACUUUGAUACAUUCAAAUAGUAAAUACUAAUAUAAGUAAAAUCGACUCAGUCAUAUCGUUAGAAUAAAUUUAUUAGCAAGUUACACAACUUUGGGCAUUUUAAUUUUGAUAUAUUCAAUGUUGGUGGUAUAAAUUAGAAAAUUUCAUAUAUAAAUGCUUAACUCUUAGUAACUUCCUUUUAUUAACUUUAUUUUAUUCAUUUGAUCAAAAAAAUUAACCAACCAUGCUGACUAAUUCUGUUUGAAAAUUACGGACUAAUUCAAAAUAAAAUAAAAUAUAUAUAUAUAUAUAUAUUAAAAUGUAGAAUAUUUUUGUUUUGAAGGAGUUAAAAUGUAGAAUAUUAUUACUAACCGCAACGACAGAGUCUCUUGCAGCUAUGGCCAAAAUGUCUGCACAAGAAACAACUGGUUUUCCACAUGCUUUAUCAACAGCAUCCUUAAUCUCAUCAACAACUUCAAAUCCUCUUGCUGAAUUUAUAUUUGGAUUUGCAUUUUUUUCACUGUCCAUUGAAGGUGUAGAGUCUAGAAGAAUUGAACCAUCACAACCCUGAAUCACACCAUAAAUUAAUCAUUAAAAUAAAUUAGUUUAAUUAGUUUAAUUUCUCGACUAAUUUUCAUAUUAUCAGUCUAAUCAGUUUAUAAAUUAAUCAUUAAAAUAAAUUUAUUGAUUCAUUUAGAAAAGUAACUAAAAUUAAUUUGUCACUAUUUAUGAUAGAUCAUUACUAAAAAAAAAAUUAGAGAACAUUAUAAAUUUUGUGAUGAAAGAAAUAGAGAGUUAGUUUAUUAUUUAUGUAAAUAAUUUUUGUCA
rnacentral:lncRNA from 1 species